rnacentral:rRNA from 1 species
CAUGCAAGUCGAGCGGGGAAGGGUAGCUUGCUACCUGACCUAGCGGCGGACGGGUGAGUAAUGCUUAGGAAUCUGCCUAUUAGUGGGGGACAACAUUCCGAAAGGAAUGCUAAUACCGCAUACGCCCUACGGGGGAAAGCAGGGGAUCUUCGGACCUUGCGCUAAUAGAUGAGCCUAAGUCAGAUUAGCUAGUUGGUGGGGUAAAGGCCUACCAAGGCGACGAUCUGUAGCGGGUCUGAGAGGAUGAUCCGCCACACUGGGACUGAGACACGGCCCAGACUCCUACGGGAGGCAGCAGUGGGGAAUAUUGGACAAUGGGCGAAAGCCUGAUCCAGCCAUGCCGCGUGUGUGAAGAAGGCCUUUUGGUUGUAAAGCACUUUAAGCGAGGAGGAGGCUACUUGGAUUAAUACUCUAGGAUAGUGGACGUUACUCGCAGAAUAAGCACCGGCUAACUCUGUGCCAGCAGCCGCGGUAAUACAGAGGGUGCGAGCGUUAAUCGGAUUUACUGGGCGUAAAGCGUGCGUAGGCGGCUUUUUAAGUCGGAUGUGAAAUCCCUGAGCUUAACUUAGGAAUUGCAUUCGAUACUGGGAAGCUAGAGUAUGGGAGAGGAUGGUAGAAUUCCAGGUGUAGCGGUGAAAUGCGUAGAGAUCUGGAGGAAUACCGAUGGCGAAGGCAGCCAUCUGGCCUAAUACUGACGCUGAGGUACGAAAGCAUGGGGAGCAAACAGGAUUAGAUACCCUGGUAGUCCAUGCCGUAAACGAUGUCUACUAGCCGUUGGGGCCUUUGAGGCUUUAGUGGCGCAGCUAACGCGAUAAGUAGACCGCCUGGGGAGUACGGUCGCAAGACUAAAACUCAAAUGAAUUGACGGGGGCCCGCACAAGCGGUGGAGCAUGUGGUUUAAUUCGAUGCAACGCGAAGAACCUUACCUGGUCUUGACAUAGUAAGAACUUUCCAGAGAUGGAUUGGUGCCUUCGGGAACUUACAUACAGGUGCUGCAUGGGCCUUGUUCCGAUUCCAAGCU